GCAUUAUUUGUCAUGGUUCCUAUCUGAACAAUAGAUAUGAGAAUCUUUAUGGCUUGGAGAGGAAUGUUUUGAGAUUGAAAAUAAGGGAAAGCUGGCACGCUGUGUCUGCAUCAAACUCUAACUCUUCAAAUGGAGAUUCCGUUGAAGACAAAUCAGGUGGGGUUAAAACCAAUGAUGCUGCACAAGGCCCUCCUUUGCUGACCAUUGUGGCUGGAUUUGUCGUCUUUUUUCUCUUAUUUUGGAUUUUGGGGUCAAUUCUAAUGUGGUUGAUUGGUCUAGUUGUUAGAUUUCCUCCACCUAAAUAAGAAAAUAUUUUCAUCAAUUUUGCUGUUUAUGUUAAAAAAGCAUGUACUCAUCUCUAUAUUUAUGAACAAUGAACAUGAGUAUUGGAUCACAAAUUUUUGUUUCCUUGCCUUUUUUUUCCCUCCUUUUGUAGAGACGAGUGAAUGGAGAUGUAAUGUAAAACCUGAUAUAUUCAUUAAUAAAUUAUUUUUCAUUA